UCGGACGGGAUUUUCCGUUGUAGCAAUACGAUGGAAAAUUUAGUGGCGAACGGGUGCUUAACACGUGGGCAACCUGCCAGGAAGUGGGGGAUAGCUCGCCGAAAGGCGAAUUAAUACCGCAUGUGAUUAGAGUGGACAUCCAUUCGAAAUUAAAGUCGGGGCAACCUGACGCUUCUUGUGGGGCCCGCGGCCUAUCAGCUAGUUGGUGAGGUAACGGCUCACCAAGGCUUUGACGGGUAGCUGGUCUGAGAGGACGACCAGCCACACUGGGACUGAGACACGGCCCAGACACCUACGGGUGGCAGCAGUCGAGAAUUUUUGACAAUGGGGGAAACCCCGAUCGAGCGACGCCGCGUGGAGGAUGAAGGUCUUCGGAUUGUAAACUCCUGUCAUUGGGGAACAAUGCACCGGUAUUAACUGUAUCGGUGUUGAUAGUACCCGAAGAGGAAGAGACGGCUAACUCUGUGCCAGCAGCCGCGGUAAUACAGAGGUCUCAAGCGUUGUUCGGAUUCAUUGGGCGUAAAGGGUGCGUAGGCGGCGCGGUAAGUCGGGUGUGAAAUCUCGGGGCUUAACUCCGAAACUGCAUUCGAUACUGCCGUGCUUGAGGACUGGAGAGGAGACUGGAAUUUACGGUGUAGCGGUGAAAUGCGUAGAUAUCGUAAGGAAGACCAGUGGCGAAGGCGGGUCUCUGGACAGUUCCUGACGCUGAGGCACGAAGGUCAGGGGAGCAAACGGGAUUAGAUACCCCGGUAGUCCUGACAGUAAACGGUGCACGUUUGGUGUGGGAGGAUUCGAC
rnacentral:rRNA from 1 species